CCUACGGGAGGCAGCAGUGAGGAAUAUUGCACAAUGGGCGCGAGCCUGAUCCAGCCAAGUAGCGUGAAGGAUGACUGCCCUACGGGUUGUAAACUUCUUUUAUAAAGGAAUAAAGUGAGGCACGUGUGCCUUUUGCUAUGUACUUUAUGAAUAAGGAUCGGCUAACUCCGUGCCAGCAGCCGCGGUAAUCCGGAGGAUCCGAGCGUUAUGCGGAUUUAUUGGGUUGAAAGGGAGCGUAGAUGGGUGGUUAAGUCAGUUGUGAAAGUUUGCGGCUCAACCGUAAAAUUGCAAUUGAUACUGGCAGGCUUGAGUACAGUUGAGGUAGGCGGAAUUCGUGGUGUAGCGGUGAAAUGCUUAGAUAUCACGAAGAACUCCGAUUGCGAAGGCAGCUUACUAAACUGCCACUGACAUUGAUGCUCGAAAGUGUGGGUAUCAAACAGGAUUAGAUACCCUAGUAGUC
rnacentral:rRNA from 1 species